AAUGCGAACUGGUAGAGACAAAAUUCUAUUUUGAGGUUUCAAUAUGAAGAAAAUGUUUUCAGGCGCGCGUUUCGAUGUAUCCAUAUCAAAACACAAGGACUUCAGGAAGUGUUUGCAGCUUUGUGAACUCGCUCAGACGACACAAGAGGCUGAGUUUAUUCAAAGCUUUUUCAGUUCCAUUCAGACGACACCGGAACUGAGUUACUUCAAAGGCCAGGCUAAACGAUAACAAAAAGAACCUCGUAUAAAGAGCCCGCCGAUCAUGUUGUUUCUACUGAUUUUUGUGCUGAUAACCCAGGCAUCUGCGACCGCCAAUAAUGUCAGCAGCAAACCAAGUGAUAACAAAGUCUCAAUGUGUUACGGUGGACAACCAGGGACAAAUGGCAUCCCCGGCAUGCAUGGCAUGCCGGGAUCCCCUGGGGCACCUGG